GACAGAGGAUGCAAGCGUUAUCCAGAAUGAUUAGGCGUAAAGCGUCUGUAGGUGGCUUUUUAAGUCCGCCGUUAAAUCCUAGGGCUCAACCCUGGACAGGCGGUGGAAACUACCAAGCUGGAGUACGGUAGGGGUAGAGGGAAUUUCCGGUGGAGCGGUGAAAUGCGUAGAGAUCGGAAAGAACACCAACGGCGAAAGCACUCUGCUGGGCCGACACUGACACUAAGAGACGAAAGCUAGGGGAGCGAAUGGG
rnacentral:rRNA from 1 species